GUGCCAGCAGCCGCGGUAAUACAGAGGUCCCGAGCGUUGUUCGGAUUCACUGGGCGUAAAGGGUGCGUAGGUGGUUGUGCAAGUCUGAUGUGAAAUCUCCGGGCUUAACCCGGAAAUGGCAUUGGAAACUGCAUGGCUAGAGGGUUGGAGGGGGGACUGGAAUACUUGGUGUAGCAGUGAAAUGCGUAGAUAUCAAGUGGAACACCAGUGGCGAAGGCGAGUCCCUGGACAACACCUGACACUGAGGCACGAAAGCUAGGGGAGCAAACAGGAUUAGAUACCCUGGUAGUCCUAGCCGUAAACGGUGCUUGCUUGCUGUAAAAGGAAUCGACCCCUUUUGUGGCGAAGCCAACGCGAUAAGCAAGCCGCCUGGGAAGUACGGUCGCAAGAUUAAA
rnacentral:rRNA from 1 species